UUGAUCUUGAUGCAGACAAGCUCUAGGAGACUGCCCUUUGGAAAGUGAUACACUCCGGCUUCUGGAGCUAACAAAGAUGCAAGGCUGCUGCUUGCACACACACGAGAUGCCACACAUGCCCACCUAUGAAGGAAAAUCAGGAGCGGAUGACUCCUCUGUGUCCAUUACACACGCCCAGGAUCGCUCUUGGAAGGCCUUGGGUAAAUUGCCACAUGAUCUCCAGUGUCCACUUCCCAUUUGUUAUUCGGACAAUAAAACGGAAAUAACUCCACGCAUGACCUUGGUCCAUGCUUGCUAGGUGCUCCAAGGGAGUUAACUGGAAUCAGCAGUGGCCUCCCUGAAUUCCAUGGAAAAGACCAGAUGCAUAUGCUUCUGCUAUUACGGUGCUCAGUGUUUGGAAAGGAGCAGUUUUGCAUUGUUAUGCAAACACCAAGGUUUGCAACGUGACCAUAUUUAUUUAUGGCCUCUGGAGAGAUGUACUACUUCUAGUGCUGACAGAGGUCAGGUCUUCCAGGAUCCUGGCAGCUGCUGAGCAAGUGAGGAAACAAAGAGCCCCCCAGUGUGGUGGGUGAGCGUCAGAGCCGGAAAUCCAGGGAGGGCAUGACAUUGAGCCUUCCAAAGUCCGAUCUUUCCAACGUCUUCACAGCCGGAUCUCCUUGUCAGAGCUCUGGAAGAAUGGUAUUUUGUUUCCUCCCCUCCAUUGGCAAGCGAGUCCCAGGCAUCCAAAUGCAGCAAGACAGGACACAUCUUGUAAAGGUUUUCCAUUUUAAUAUCCCUUAAUGACCAAUAAUGAAUUCUUUAUAGUUAAUCUGCUGUUCUCAUGAAAACAAUCUAGAUGGUUAAAAAAAAUCAAUCAUUAAUGAGCAGUAAAUGACAGUUCCCCAACAACACAGCUGUAUUUUUGUAAAAGUGAUUAAACAUUGUCUGCAUUCAUAA